rnacentral:misc_RNA from 1 species
GUGAAUCAUCGAAUCUUUGAACGCACAUUGCGCCCGCCAGUAUUCUGGCGGGCAUGCCUGUUCGAGCGUCAUUUCAACCCUCAAGCACAGCUUGGUGUUGGGAUUCGUGGAGCAAUCCACGGUCCCCAAAUCUAUUGGCGGUCACGUCGAGCUUCCAUAGCGUAGUAAUUACACCUCGUUACUGGUAAUCGUCGCGGCCACGCCGUUAAACCCCAACUUCUGAAUGUUGACCUCGGAUCAGGUAGGAAUACCCGCUGAACUUAAGCAUAUCAAUAAGCGGAGGA